AUCCAACUAAUGAGUCCCAAAUAGGACGAAACGCGCAUCUUAAAU
rnacentral:hammerhead_ribozyme from 1 species